rnacentral:rRNA from 1 species
GACGAAGGUGGCAAGCGUUGUUCGGUAUUACUGGGCUUAAAGCGUGUGUAGGCGGAAAAGCAAGCGUUUUGUGAAAUCCCUCGGCUUAACCGAGGAAUUGCGUGACGAACUGCUUUUCUUGAGGCAAGUAGGGGUGCAUGGAACUCUUGGUGGAGCGGUGGAAUGCGUAGAUAUCAAGAGGAACGCCAGUGGAGAAAUCGGUGCACUGGGCUUGUCCUGACGCUGAGACACGAAAGCGUGGGGAGCGAACGGGAUUAGAUACCCUCGUA